rnacentral:rRNA from 1 species
UACGUAGGGGGGCAAGCGUUGUCCGGAAUCAUUGGGCGUAAAGAGCGUGUAGGCGGCUCGAUAAGUCUGCUGUGAAAGUCCAGGGCUCAACCCUGGAAGGCCGGUGGAAACUGUCGGGCUAGAGUCCGGAAGAGGCGAGUGGAAUUCCCGGUGUAGCGGUGAAAUGCGCAGAUAUCGGGAGGAACACCAAUGGCGAAGGCAGCUCGCUGGGACGGUACUGACGCUGAGACGCGAAAGCGUGGGGAGCAAACAGGG